rnacentral:rRNA from 1 species
UUCCGGACCCGGGCCGAUGAAUCCCUUGCAGACGACUUGAAUAAGGAACGGGGUAUUGUACGCGGCAGAGUGGCCUUGUUGCCACGAUCCGCUGAGAUUCAGCCUUGGUUCUGACGAUU